UUUUUAAUAUAUUUGAUUUUGAAAAUCAAUAAACUUUUUAGUAAU
rnacentral:tRNA from 1 species